ensembl:lncRNA
UCCCUGAGUGUGCUGCGCAGGCCCCGAGGCCUCAGAGGGCUUCCGGGCUGGCUCCUGCUGGGGGAAGCAGCCUCCGUUUCCUUCUGCCAUUCCCCUGUCAGGCCCUCCUCUGGACACUGCGGCUGCCUCCCCGGACGGGUCCUCAGACAGGCCGUCAGGAUCCAAGUGUCCAACACACAGAGAAAGGCGAAGCCAGGCCUUCCUGGGAGCUGAGAUCACCCUGGCCCUAGGAUUCUGAAGUGGCUGGUGGUCUACCUAGACCCCCGGCUCUUUUUCAGAAUCCCUGCUGGCUCUUGGGCUGGAGUGUGCCAGGUGGCAGAGGCAGGUGUGUGUGUCCUGGGCAGGUACCGGCUUCUGGUCUCUUCCCUGCCUGCCUGUCCAUCUCUCCAUCCAACCAUGGGCCGGGCAGGAGGGCCUCUGCCUCCUCCCCCUCUGGCCUUCCUGCUGGGAAGGGAGCAGAGGAGCUGGUUUGGCCACUUCUCAGGCCAAACAGGGGUAAGGCGGGCAGCAGGUGUGGGGAGCCAGGGCACCGGGACUGAUAAAGAGCCGCUGGACAGCCUCAGGUGACCAACCGCUGCAGCCAGGGGAGGGGGUGGCCAGGGCGCACCUCAGUUUCCCUUUCUGCUUUGCCUCUCAGGGCACCGUGAAGCCCCUGGCCUGGAUCGGAUGCUCAGGGAGACAGGUCAUGGGGCCCAUGGGCCCAUUUUACAGAUGUGGAAAUUGAAGCCCAAAGUGCCCCAUACUCCCAGAGAGGGGGCUUCAGCUAGAACUAGAACCCGGGGCCAGAGACUGGAAGGAGCCCUGCCCCCUGCUCCAAGGAGUGAGGGCCCCUGGGUGCCCCCAGGGCAGAGGCUUUGGCUUGGGGGAGGGCAGAAGCACUGGCAGCCCCCUCGCCCCUUCCCCAGGAUAGGGCCAGCCUGGCCCCGCCCCACCCCGCCCCACCCCGCCCCCGUACCUUUGGUCCUGGAGCCGGGGAGGGGCCGGACAGGGACGAUUGGCUGGAGCGGGAGCCUCAGCCAGACCCAGACCAGACCAGACCUGGAGGUCCCAGAGACAGAGCCCACCACGCGGCCCGCGCUGACUGGCCACCCCUGGGACUGUGCACCUGGCGCCCUCGGAGGAGCUGCGGAAAACGCCCAGCCACAGCCCGCCACAGACCAGGGUCCCUCCCCGACGUAGCCCCGCACCCACCCCCUUCCCAAAGCUGGGACUGCGGACCCCAGCCAGCCUGGCAUUCUGCCCUUGGACACAGAGCAGGGGCACCCCGAGGCCGGUUGGGGCUGACUCCUCUGAGCUCUCCAUCC